rnacentral:rRNA from 1 species
GACUGGAUGCCGUCGGUGAUUCGGCAGGAUGAUCUCGAUGAUCUGGUCGAUGGGGGAUUCAUUCCCCACGAAUCUGUGCGCCUCCCGGGGAAAGAAGUCGAACCCCAGCCUCUUAAUGGUGAGUGCGUCCUCCUCGCCACCCAUAUCGAUCGUGGAUUCUCUCUGCCUCCUCAUCCUUUUUUCCAGAGCUUCUUGAACUUCUUCGGAGCACAGCUCCAUCACUUUACUCCCAAUUCUAUUGUGUAUCUUGCUGCUUUCGUUUCCUUGUGUGAAAACUUCUUGGGUUGCCGCCCCCAUUGGGGACUCUUCAAGCACAUCUUCACUUGCCGCUCUCAGUCGGUCAAGAAGGCCAAGUCGAGUGACGAACGGACGCAGGUGAUCCAGCUGUGCAGGGGCCUGGCGAUCCAGAUGAGGGGAAAAAGUUCCUUUUCGUCUAUCACUUUUCCCGAGUCAGUCCGUGGGUGGCAGUCGACUUGGUUUUACUGUAAAGACCAGGUGACCCCAGGACAGUCGACCGGGCUUCCCCCUUUUUCUCUGAAUCGAGCACAAAAACCUGCCUCUUUGAAAGUGACGCCGGAGGAAAAGGCGCAAGUCAAGGUGCUGGUCGGUCGAGUGGUUCAGCUUGUCCGCGAGGGUGUGACUGGCAUGGACUUGUUGGAAGUCUUCCUUCGGAGGCGCAUCCAACCGCUUCAGGCUCGUGACCACCUGAUGUGGCUGUAC